rnacentral:rRNA from 1 species
GACGAACGCUGGCGGCGUGCUUAACACAUGCAAGUCGAGCGGAAAGGCCCCUUGUGGGUACUCGAGCGGCGAACGGGUGAGUAACACGUGAGUAAUCUGCCCUUCACUUCAGGAUAGCUCCCGGAAACGGGGAUCAAUACUGGAUAUGACGCGCCUGCGCAUGUGGGUGUGUGGAAAGUUUUUUCGGUGGGGGAUGUGCUCGCGGCCUAUCAGCUUGAUGGUGGGGUAAUGGCCUACCAUGGCUUCGACGGGUAGCCGGCCUGAGAGGGUGACCGGUCACACUGGGACUGAGACACGGCCCAGACUCCUACGGGAGGCAGCAGUGGGGAAUAUUGGACAAUGGGCGGAAGCCUGAUUCAGCAACGCCGCGUGAGGGAUGACGGCCUUCGGGUUGUAAACCUCUUUCAGCACAGACGAAGCGCAAGUGACGGUAUGUGCAGAAGAAGGACCGGCCAACUACGUGCCAGCCGCCGCAGUAAAAC